UACGUAGGGGGCAAGCGUUGUCCGGAAUCAUUGGGCGUAAAGCGCGCGUAGGCGGCCCGGUAAGUCCGCUCUGAAAGUCCAAGGCUCAACCUUGGAAUGCCGGUGGAUACUGUCGGGCUUGAGUACGGAAGAGGCGAGUGGAAUUCCUGGUGUAGCGGUGAAAUGCGCAGAUAUCAGGAGGAACACCAAUUGCGAAGGCAGCUCGCUGGGACGUUACUGACGCUGAGACGCGAAAGCGUGGGGAGCAAACAGG
rnacentral:rRNA from 1 species